rnacentral:lncRNA from 1 species
CUGUCUUAGGCUCUGAGUGAUACCUCUAUUUUAUUAUAAUAAAUUUCCCUUUAGUCCCUAAACUAGAUUGAAAGCAUAUUUUUCACUUAUUGCCCACGGGUUAUUGAAGACACAGUGAUAAUGAGAAUCAGAAUGAAUUUCAGAGAAAGAGGGAAACCUGCAUAUUUGUUUGAACAUUAGCCUUGAGAAGUGCAAAGACACCUAGUCAUGUCUGAAUGUUUGUAUUAAUUAUUAAAUAACACUGGUACUUUGGAAUAAAGACCAUAUCCUGGCAUGGAAUCAGUACCUUCAAAAUGGUUCAGAAUGUACAGAUCUCAACACCGGAUGAAGGAUAACAUUACACCAGUAUUAUGGUUCUCUCUGCACCUUUGCUUAUCAGCACAUGGAGCUCUAAAAUGGCUGCUCCCUAGGCUCCUGAAAGGCCCAGCAACCAAGUUCUAUCCCACCAGAUGGGCUUCUAAUGUCUUUUGCAUGAGGAAGAAAGAAAAGUGAAUGGGGGAGUACAUGAUGCUUCUGUGAGAGUAAAAAAACUAACAAGCCACCACCACCACCAAAGUUAUGUCUAAUAUUUCUCUUGAAAUCUAGUGACACAAUUUUUUCACGUUAUUCUUGGAUGGAAGAACUCUUCUUCUUUUGCCUUUCAGUCUAGGUAUUUGUUUAAAUUAAUUAUUAUGCAGUGCUUAAUUAGUUGACUGACUCCAGUGAUCAAGUUUGCCUUCGUAACAUUUAACAAUUGACAUUUAUAAUCUAAAUGUAAGCUAAAGUUAAGCUUUAACUCAACAUACCCCAUAAUCCAAAAUAGAAUAUUUUGGUUAGAAAUUUGGAUUUUCAAAAUCAAAGUUUAAAAUAUUUCCAUCGCACCUACUGUGAAUUUAACUUUAAUCUUAGUCAUUUGAACAACCGGAAUUUUAAGGAAUUUGAUGGAUUUUUUAACCAAAUUUUUCUUGGACGGUUUAUUUCUUUUAUUUUGUAAGUCAGGUUUAUUGAAGUAUAACUUAUGAACUACAAAAUUCACCCUUUUUGUAUACAGUUUUGUGGGUUUUGACAAACAUACUUGGUUUGUGGAGUUGUCUUAUUCCCAUCCUUUUUCCUCCUACCUAUUACCCUUCCUUACCCUACCCAACACUUUUGAGAAUAUUUGAAGUAAAUGGAUAGGUGUUCUUACAAAUUUCAUAGCAUUAUACUCAAUAUGAAAAUAAAAUGUUCCUUGAUAGACA